GUCAGACCCUCCUGUACAGUAAUGGAAAAACCUAUUUGCAUUGGUACCUGCAGAAGCCAGGCCAGUCCCCACAGCUCCUGAUCUACGAGGGGCAUAACACGACUAUGAAGACACGUGAUGGAGGUCAGCUCUUUCAGCAAGACCCAGCUCCGGGGCUCGUGUGUGUUGGGGAGGGGAUGCUGAUGGGGUUGAGGUCCAGAUUUGAAUCCACACGGAAAGUCAGAUGUACUUCCUGGGAGAUGACAGAGUGAAGGGACCACUGCCUGGGCUCCCAGGCCAUGCCCUGCUGAUACUGCCAGUGACAUGGAAAAUGACUCUGCCCAUCAAUACCAACAUGGUAGAAGCCAUCUCUUUCCCAAUAUGAGCCUGGAAGGAGCUAAGCAAGAUGGUCAUUCAUCUCCCACAUACUGAUCUGGAUAUUCAGAAUCUGAUCCUGAUGCCAUUUGGCAACCUGAUGACGGUUUUCUUGGUUUUCCCCCAAACAAAGAAGAUACUUUAUUUCACUCUGCUCACAGGAGACUCUUGCCCUUCUCAUGGCUCUGUCCACAUGGCUUCACCCACCUGGGAAUUUGCAUAUUGUCUCCUAGGGAGGAUCCUUUUUAGCAGGUCUGACAUAAAAGGUCAGCUCAAACAUUGCUUGGACUUACCAAGCUUCAUCUGUUCAACUGCUCAGAAUGAGGUUUCCUGCUCAGAUCCUGGGGCUGCUGAUGCUCUGGGUCCCAGGAUCCAGCGGGGAAAUCGUGAUGACACAGACCCCACUGUCCCUGUCCAUCUCCCCUGGAGAGCCGGCCUCCAUCUCCUGCAAGGCCAGUCAGAACCUCCUGCACAGUGAUGGAAAAACCUAUUUGACUUGGUUCCGGCAGAAGCCAGGCCAGUCUCCACAGGGCCUGAUCUACUUGCUUUCCAAACGUUUCUCUGGGGUCUCAGACAGGUUCAGUGGCAGUGGGUCAGGGACAGAUUUCACCCUGAGAAUCAGCAGGGUGGAGGCUGACGAUAUGGGAGUUUAUUACUGCAUGCAAGGUACACAUGAUCCUCCCACAUUCAGCUCAGGGACCAAG